rnacentral:lncRNA from 1 species
AGUUGUUAAUGAUGUAAAGUUACCCAUGCAUAUAUCCUGUAAAUAAAAUGCUAUUAAAUAAAAAAAAAAGAAGUUCUGAGUAGAAACCAACCGGAGUAAGUGAAGGCAUAAUAUCUUGUGCACAAGCAAUCUAACCAAACCACUAUAAGAAACAGGGCCAGAUCAAUGCCUAGACAACAUAAUCAGUAUCUAGGCAACCUACUUCUGAGCCAUAACAGGAUGCAGGGCCAGUCAGACCAGUAUUAGGCAACCCAUGGCUGCCCUAAAGCCUCUAAAACCCAUUCUUGACCCCUGCAGAGAAAGAGCAGGGGUAUGAGCCAGAAUGGAUGGCAUGGAGAAGAGGGAAUGAAAAAUAGAGAAAAAUAGUAGAAAGACUGCAGAGAAAUUCUCUCAGUGACUCAAGAGUCUUUUUGUACCUAUUAUUUAUCCUGGACGACAGAAACCCUAAUAAACAGAGAUCUACAAUGGAAGAGCAGUUAUAUCUGUUGAAUCGCCAUCAAUCAAUAGAAUUCAUCUCUAUUUUAAAAGUGAUUGACAGUCUCCAGAUGACAACAUCUGCAGCAGAAGUUGACUCCUUUCCAGAAGUGGAAUCUAUCUUUGUAAUUCUGCAUGCUUUCCCAAUGCCUCAGCUAGUGCAGACUGUGCAAAGCUCCUUAUCUAGGACUCUAAGAAAGGAUAACAGGACUGCUCAAGUAUAAAAACAGGGCAGAGAAACAACUUCAAGCCUGAAGAAUAUGAACACAAAGAAGGUCUGUGUGCAACGUACCACCUUCAGGCAGCUUGGUCUUUUCAAUUUGGAGACCACUUCCCUCCAGAUUCUUCCAGCUGCUGAACACCAAAUAAUAGAUCUCUUCUUCCUCGGAGGCCCCAGAUCAAGACACCAUCUGUUGCUCAUUUGGAGGAGAUUGUCCUGCUCAGAAACUGUGGAAAUGUGAUCGUUCCAAUUCUUCCCAUCAGCCCUCAGCCCUCCUUCGCUUCCCAUUGCACCCACUAAACUCCCAUCAACCCUGGGCAGUGCCAGCUCACCAGACAAGCCCUCCCCACUCAGUAGCAUCCCUGCUUCAUAAAUGGUGCGGAAGGAUGGCCAGGUUGCUCUUGGAUAGCCAUGGAUCACCAUUCCCACAACCAUGCUGCCCACAGAAGCCUGGAACACAAAGGCAGCCCUAUUGGAACUGCCGCCUUCAAGAAGGCUUUAUAGUUCACAGCCAAACAAUGUAGCCACGAGCAUCUUUCCCUAUGGCGACAGUGCCAUCUAGCGGUCAGGUAAGCUAACGGAGAGCACUCCUCUUGCCUUCAACCUCCAGGAAGGGUUACUUUACUACACCUGCAAAGCCCUCCUUCCCCUCCAAGAAGCAGCUGAAAUGACUAGAUGCCCAUAGUGGCCAGCCAGUAUGCAAGAUCACUAAUCACCCGUCUAAACUAU